GAGGGUGUAGCUCAGUGGUAGAGCGCAUGCUUAGCAUGCACAAGGUCCUGGGUUCAAUCCCCAGUGCCUCCA
rnacentral:tRNA from 1 species